rnacentral:rRNA from 1 species
CCCCGUGCAUGAGUGGCGGACGGGUGAGUAACGCGUGGGCAACCUGCCCUGUACAGGGGGACAACACUUAGAAAUAGGUGCUAAUACCGCAUAACGGGGGAGCCGCAUGGCACCCCCCUGAAAACUCCGGUGGUACAGGAUGGGCCCGCGUCUGAUUAGCUGGUUGGCAGGGUAACGGCCUACCAAGGCGACGAUCAGUAGCCGGCCUGAGAGGGUGAACGGCCACAUUGGGACUGAGACACGGCCCAGACUCCUACGGGAGGCAGCAG